UACGAAGGGGGCUAGCGUUGCUCGGAAUCACUGGGCGUAAAGCGCACGUAGGCGGCUUCUUAAGUCAGGGGUGAAAUCCUGGAGCUCAACUCCAGAACUGCCUUUGAUACUGAGAGGCUUGAGUCCGGGAGAGGUGAGUGGAAAUGCGAGUGUAGAGGUGAAAUUCGUAGAUAUUCGCAAGAACACCAGUGGCGAAGGCGGCUCACUGGCCCGGUACUGACGCUGAGGUGCGAAAGCGUGGGGAGCAAACAGG
rnacentral:rRNA from 1 species